CAUGUUCGACCUGCUGCGGGCAGAUGAAAUGGAUAUGGCAGUCGAAGCCGCCGGGGGUCAGGAUGCGCCCCUCGCCAGCGAUGAUUUCCGUGCCGGGGCCAAUGACCAGCGUGACGCCGGGCUGGGUGUCGGGAUUGCCGGCCUUGCCGAUCCCGGCGAUGCGCCCGUCCUUCAGCCCGACAUCGGCCUUGGUGAUGCCCUGAUGGUCGAAGACGACAACGCCGGUGAUGACCGUAUCCAUCGCACCGCCUUCGCGCGUGACCUGAGAUUGCCCCAUGCCAUCGCGCACG
rnacentral:sRNA from 1 species